UACGGAGGGUGCGAGCGUUGUCCGGAAUCACUGGGCGUAAAGGGCGCGUAGGCGGCAUGCCAAGCGUGUGGUGAAAGCCCGGGGCUCAACCCCGGGCCUGCAUUCGAUACGGGCAGACUAGAGUUCGGUAGGGGAGUCUGGAAUUCCUGGUGUAGCGGUGAAAUGCGCAGAUAUCAGGAGGAACACCGGUGGCGAAGGCGGGACUCUGGGCCGAUACUGACGCUGAGGAGCGAAAGCGUGGGGAGCGAACAGG
rnacentral:rRNA from 1 species